UGCUGGUGAGUCCCCUGCUGAGAGUCUGCUAGUGAGCCUCCUGCUGUUCACAGACUGACUGCAUACUGGAUUAAUUCCCCACUUCUCAACACUUGCGAGGUGCUAAAAUUGUCACUGCUGGUUUGCAAACAACACCGGUCUAAUUCAUUUACCACAGAUGCUGCUUGUCAAAAUUCAGACGGAGUUUGGAUUCUUGACCCAAGAGGGCUUGUGAUGUUUGCCAUGGUUGGAAAAGUGCGGGUUUCUCAUUCCUUAUCCUCACACUGCAGAUUACAAGUUAGAAGCAGUUCCUGACUUCCCAG
rnacentral:lncRNA from 1 species